GACGAACGCUGGCGGCGUGCCUAAUACAUGCAAGUCGAGCGAAUGGAUUAAGAGCUUGCUCUUAUGAAGUUAGCGGCGGACGGGUGAGUAACACGUGGGUAACCUGCCCAUAAGACUGGGAUAACUCCGGGAAACCGGGGCUAAUACCGGAUAACAUUUUGAACCGCAUGGUUCGAAAUUGAAAGGCGGCUUCGGCUGUCACUUAUGGAUGGACCCGCGUCGCAUUAGCUAGUUGGUGAGGUAACGGCUCACCAAGGCAACGGUGCGUAGCCGACCUGAGAGGGUGAUCGGCCACACUGGGACUGAGACACGGCCCAGACCCCUACGGGAGGCAGCAGUAGGGAAUCUUCCGCAAUGGACGAAAGUCUGACGGAGCAACGCUGCGUGAGUGAUGAAGGCUUUCGGGUCGUAAAACUCUGUUGUUAGGGAAGUACAAGUGCUAGUUGAAUAAGCUGGCACCUUGACGGUACCUAACCAGAAAGCCACGGCUAACUACGUGCCAGCCGCCGCCGUAA
rnacentral:rRNA from 1 species